rnacentral:rRNA from 1 species
AUUGAACGCUGGCAGCAGGCCUAACACAUGCAAGUCGAGCGGAUGAAGGGAGCUUGCUCCUGGAUUCAGCGGCGGACGGGUGAGUAAUGCCUAGGAAUCUGCCUGGUAGUGGGGGAUAACGUCCGGAAACGGGCGCUAAUACCGCAUACGUCCUGAGGGAGAAAGUGGGGGAUCUUCGGACCUCACGCUAUCAGAUGAGCCUAGGUCGGAUUAGCUAGUUGGUGGGGUAAAGGCCUACCAAGGCGACGAUCCGUAUCUGGUCUGAGAGGAUGAUCAGUCACACUGGAACUGAGACACGGUCCAGACUCCUACGGGAGGCAGCAGUGGGGAAUAUUGGACAAUGGGCGAAAGCCUGAUCCAGCCAUGCCGCGUGUGUGAAGAAGGUCUUCGGAUUGUAAAGCACUUUAAGUUGGGAGGAAGGGCAGUAAGUUAAUACCUUGCUGUUUUGACGUUACCAACAGAAUAAGCACCGGCUAACUUCGUG